GAGGAAAAGAAACUAACAAGGAUUCCCCUAGUAACGGCGAGCGAAGCGGGAAGAGCUCAAAUUUGAAAGCUGGCACCUCCGGUGUCCGCGUUGUAAUCUCGAGACGUGUUUUCCGUGCGGCUCUAUGGACAAGUCCCUUGGAAUAGGGCAUCGUAGAGGGUGAGAAUCCCGUACUUGCCAUGGAAGAACCGUGCUUUGCGAUACACGCUCUAAGAGUCGAGUUGUUUGGGAUUGCAGCUCAAAAUGGGUGGUAGACUCCAUCUAAAGCUAAAUAUCGGGGAGAGACCGAUAGCGAACAAGUACCGUGAGGGAAAGAUGAAAAGCACUUUGGAAAGAGAGUUAAAAGUACGUGAAAUUGUCGAAAGGGAAGCACUUGAAGUCAGCCAUGCUGCUUGAGACUCAGCCUGGCCUUUGGGCUUGGUGUAUUUCUCGGUGGCAAGCCAGCAUUGGUUUGGGUCGUCGGAGAAGCGCAUAGGGAAUGUAGCGUCUCCGGACGUGUUAUAGCCUUAUGC
rnacentral:rRNA from 1 species